CCUACGGGCGGCAGCAGUGAGGAAUAUUGGUCAAUGGACGAGAGUCUGAACCAGCCAAGUAGCGUGAAGGAUGACUGCCCUAUGGGUUGUAAACUUCUUUUAUAAAGGAAUAAAACGAGGCACGUGUGCCUUUUUGCAUGUACUUUAUGAAUAAGGAUCGGCUAACUCCGUGCCAGCAGCCGCGGUAAUACGGUGGAUCCGCGCGUUAUCCGGAUUUAGUGGGUUUAAAGGGAGCGUAGAUGGGUUGUUAAGUCAGUUGUGAAAGUUUGCGGCUCAACCGUAAAAUUGCAAUUGAUACUGGCAGUCUUGAGUACAGUUGAGGUAGGUGGAAUUCGUGGUGUAGCGGUGAAAUGCUUAGAUAGCACGAAGAACCCCGAUUGCGAAGGCAGCUUACUAGACUGUGACUGACAUUGAUGCUCGAAAGUGUGGGUAUCAAACAGGAUUAGAUACCCUAGUAGUC
rnacentral:rRNA from 1 species